rnacentral:rRNA from 1 species
GAUGAACGCUAGCUACAGGCUUAACACAUGCAAGUCGAGGGACCGGCGCACGGGUGAGUAACAUGUAUCCAACCUGCCCUUUAGUCGGUGAUUGCCUUUCGAAAUAACGAUUACUACCCGAUGUAAAGUAUGGGUAUGCGUUUCAUUAGGUUGUUGGUUAGGUAAAGGCUCACCAAGCCUUCGAUGGCUAGGGGUUCUGAGAGGAAGGUCCACUACAUUGGAACUGAGACACGGUCCAAACUCGUACGGGAGGCAGCAGUGAUGAAUAUUGGUGAAUGGGCGUUAGCCUGAACCAGCCAAGUAGCGGGAAGGAUGAAGGGGUAUGGGUGGUAAACUUCUUGUAUAUAAGGAUAUGUAUUAGAUGAAUAAGGAUCGGCUAACUCCGUGCCAGCAGCCGCGGUAAUAC